UACGUAGGGUGCGAGCGUUAUUCGGAAUUACUGGGCGUAAAGCGUGCGCAGGCGGUUCGUUGUGUCUGAUGUGAAAGCCCCGGGCUUAACCUGGGAAUGGCAUUGGAAACUGGCGAGCUGGAGUGUGGCAGAGGGGGGUGGAAUUCCGCGUGUAGCAGUGAAAUGCGUAGAGAUGCGGAGGAACACCGAUGGCGAAGGCAGCCCCCUGGGCCAACACUGACGCUCAGGCACGAAAGCGUGGGGAGCAAACAGG
rnacentral:rRNA from 1 species